rnacentral:rRNA from 1 species
GGGUUGUGAGGUUAAGCGACUAAGCGUACACGGUGGAUGCCCUGGCAGUCAGAGGCGAUGAAGGGCGUGCUAAUCUGCGAUAAGCGCCGGUAAGGUGAUAUGAACCGUUAUAACCGGCGAUACCCGAAUGGGGAAACCCAGUGUGACUCGUCACACUAUCAUUAACUGAAUCCAUAGGUUAAUGAGGCGAACCGGGGGAACUGAAACAUCUAAGUACCCCGAGGAAAAGAAAUCAACCGAGAUUCCCCCAGUAGCGGCGAGCGAACGGGGAGGAGCCCAGAGCCUGAAUCAGCAUGUGUGUUAGUGGAAGCGUCUGGAAAGGCGCGCGAUACAGGGUGACAGCCCCGUACACAAAAGCGCAUGUGCUGUGAGCUCGAUGAGUAGGGCGGGACACGUGGUAUCCUGUCUGAAUAUGGGGGGACCAUCCUCCAAGGCUAAAUACUCCUGACUGACCGAUAGUGAACCAGUACCGUGAGGGAAAGGCGAAAAGAACCCCGGCGAGGGGAGUGAAAAAGAACCUGAAACCGUGUACGUACAAGCAGUGGGAGCACANNNNNNNNNNNNNNACUGCGUACCUUUUGUAUAAUGGGUCAGCGACUUAUAUUCUGUAGCAAGGUUAACCGAAUAGGGGAGCCGGAGGGAAACCGAGUCUUAAUUGGGCGUUAAGUUGCAGGGUAUAGACCCGAAACCCGGUGAUCUAGCCAUGGGCAGGUUGAAGGUUGGGUAACACUAACUGGAGGACCGAACCGACUAAUGUUGAAAAAUUAGCGGAUGACCUGUGGCUGGGGGUGAAAGGCCAAUCAAACCGGGAGAUAGCUGGUUCUCCCCGAAAGCUAUUUAGGUAGCGCCUCGUGAAUUCAUCUCCGGGGGUAGAGCACUGUUUCGGCUAGGGGGCCAUCCCGGCUUACCAACCCGAUGCAAACUGCGAAUACCGGAGAAUGUUAUCACGGGAGACACACGGCGGGUGCUAACGUCCGUCGUGAAGAGGGAAACAACCCAGACCGCCAGCUAAGGUCCCAAAGUCAUGGUUAAGUGGGAAACGAUGUGGGAAGGCCCAGACAGCCAGGAUGUUGGCUUAGAAGCAGCCAUCAUUUAAAGAAAGCGUAAUAGCUCACUGGUCGAGUCGGCCUGCGCGGAAGAUGUAACGGGGCUAAACCAUGCACCGAAGCUGCGGCAGCGACACUGUGUGUUGUUGGGUAGGGGAGCGUUCUGUAAGCCUGCGAAGGUGGCCUGUGAGGGUUGCUGGAGGUAUCAGAAGUGCGAAUGCUGACAUAAGUAACGAUAAAGCGGGUGAAAAGCCCGCUCGCCGGAAGACCAAGGGUUCCUGUCCAACGUUAAUCGGGGCAGGGUGAGUCGACCCCUAAGGCGAGGCCGAAAGGCGUAGUCGAUGGGAAACGGGUUAAUAUUCCCGUACUUGGUGUUACUGCGAAGGGGGGACGGAGAAGGCUAUGUUGGCCGGGCGACGGUUGUCCCGGUUUAAGCGUGUAGGUGUGUGUUCCAGGUAAAUCCGGUUCACUUUAACACUGAGGCGUGACGACGAGGCACUACGGUGCUGAAGCAACAAAUGCCCUGCUUCCAGGAAAAGCCUCUAAGCAUCAGGUAACAUCAAAUCGUACCCCAAACCGACACAGGUGGUCAGGUAGAGAAUACCAAGGCGCUUGAGAGAACUCGGGUGAAGGAACUAGGCAAAAUGGUGCCGUAACUUCGGGAGAAGGCACGCUGACACGUAGGUGAAGUGAUUUACUCAUGGAGCUGAAGUCAGUCGAAGAUACCAGCUGGCUGCAACUGUUUAUUAAAAACACAGCACUGUGCAAACACGAAAGUGGACGUAUACGGUGUGACGCCUGCCCGGUGCCGGAAGGUUAAUUGAUGGGGUCAGCGCAAGCGAAGCUCCUGAUCGAAGCCCCGGUAAACGGCGGCCGUAACUAUAACGGUCCUAAGGUAGCGAAAUUCCUUGUCGGGUAAGUUCCGACCUGCACGAAUGGCGUAAUGAUGGCCAGGCUGUCUCCACCCGAGACUCAGUGAAAUUGAACUCGCUGUGAAGAUGCAGUGUACCCGCGGCAAGACGGAAAGACCCCGUGAACCUUUACUAUAGCUUGACACUGAACAUUGAGCCUUGAUGUGUAGGAUAGGUGGGAGGCUUUGAAGUGUGGACGCCAGUCUGCAUGGAGCCGACCUUGAAAUACCACCCUUUAAUGUUUGAUGUUCUAACGUGGACCCGUUACCCGGGUUGCGGACAGUGUCUGGUGGGUAGUUUGACUGGGGCGGUCUCCUCCUAAAGAGUAACGGAGGAGCACGAAGGUUGGCUAAUCCUGGUCGGACAUCAGGAGGUUAGUGCAAUGGCAUAAGCCAGCUUGACUGCGAGCGUGACGGCGCGAGCAGGUGCGAAAGCAGGUCAUAGUGAUCCGGUGGUUCUGAAUGGAAGGGCCAUCGCUCAACGGAUAAAAGGUACUCCGGGGAUAACAGGCUGAUACCGCCCAAGAGUUCAUAUCGACGGCGGUGUUUGGCACCUCGAUGUCGGCUCAUCACAUCCUGGGGCUGAAGUAGGUCCCAAGGGUAUGGCUGUUCGCCAUUUAAAGUGGUACGCGAGCUGGGUUUAGAACGUCGUGAGACAGUUCGGUCCCUAUCUGCCGUGGGCGCUGGAGAACUGAGGGGGGCUGCUCCUAGUACGAGAGGACCGGAGUGGACGCAUCACUGGUGUUCGGGUUGUCAUGCCAAUGGCACUGCCCGGUAGCUAAAUGCGGAAGAGAUAAGUGCUGAAAGCAUCUAAGCACGAAACUUGCCCCGAGAUGAGUUCUCCCUGAGACUUAAAGUCUCCUGAAGGAACGUUGAAGACGACGACGUUGAUAGGCCGGGUGUGUAAGCGCAGCGAUGCGUUGAGCUAACCGGUACUAAUGAACCGUGAGGCUUAACCUUACAACGCCGAAG